GCAUGGCAAUGGAUUUAUGGUGGGAUUUGUUCAGUAAUCCCUUCAUAGUGUACCCCAUGCUAGAGAAACAUCAGCUCCGAACCAUUGGUAAGCCCUCUGUAGGACUGACCACUGAAGUGAAGCUGUACAGUU